CUUUAUGUUCCUGGCCUUUAGACACAGUCUAAAUAUAUUUUACCCAUUGCAUGCAUAGCCCUAUAUAUUAUCCAACUCUCUUUCCUUAUACAGAACGUUAUUUAAUCAGCCGAACAGAAAGAAGCCAAGUCAGCAAUUUAAACUAGUUUACUGCCAGUCCAGGCUUAGAAAUAUGAAGAAAUGCCUUUUUCUUAAGGACUGUGGAAAGCAUUUUACCACUCCUCCACUCCUAAUUUCAUUUUACUCUGAAAUGCUAUAAAAAUGACAGUCGUUUUUAAAUGGAUGUCUAAGGCUCUUUUCCAUUGCUGUGUGCAUCCAGGGGGGUCUGCAUGACUGUGAGCGUGGCUCCUGCCCUGUCCCCAAAACACACCUAUAGCACAGCAAAGAACAACAUAACAGCUAAACAAAAUACUCAGAGGAACUGAAGGACUCACUAAGACGACAGCUGAUGAAAAGCCUUGUUUCAAACUGAUUGAAGAUAACUCGUGAUGGUGGAUGAGGAAGGGAGCUGGGCAAACCUCAAGUCUGGCAAGACCAUCACUGUCCAGCAGGAGGAAAGAGAAAAAAUAAAAAGAGAGAGACACUUUCUUCAAGCAUGCGCAACGGUGGUGAUGCUGACUGAAGACAAAGGUGAAAAUUUUCCCACGUGCUCAUGCGGACGGAGGGGCCCUGCGCUGAACCUUGGAUACAAAUGAGUUCCAGUGCCUGAACCCGCCCAGCAUGCGGAGUGAGGAAUCCUUCCUCCUUGCACUGGGACCCCGGAAAAAAAUGUGGCCGGUCCAGGUCCGGGGACUGCUGUCCUGCCUGAGCAGAGAAAACCACCCCAGGAACAUCGGUGGAGUCCUCACCUACCCAGCGACCCCGAUACAUUUCACUCACUGGACCGCCGAUUGUCCUAGAAAAUAUUAAAGUUUAGUUGAUUGUU
rnacentral:lncRNA from 1 species